rnacentral:rRNA from 1 species
UACGUAGGGCGCAAGCGUUGUCCGGAAUUAUUGGGCGUAAAGAGCUCGUAGGCGGCUUGUCGCGUCGAUUGUGAAAGCCCGGGGCUUAACCUCGGGUCUGCAGUCGAUACGGGCUGGCUAGAGUGUGGUAGGGGAGAUCGGAAUUCCUGGUGUAGCGGUGAAAUGCGCAGAUAUCAGGAGGAACACCGGUGGCGAAGGCGGAUCUCUGGGCCAUUACUGACGCUGAGGAGCGAAAGCGUGGGGAGCAAACAGG